rnacentral:RNase_P_RNA from 1 species
UGAGGAGGCCAGGUGGCCGCCGGUCCGCCGUAGCCAUGGCGAGAGCCAUGGCGAAGGCGGGCGGGAGGAAAGUCCGGGCUCCGCAGGGCAGGGUGCCGGGUAAUCCCCGGUGGGGGCGACCCCGAGGACAGUGCCACAGAAAACAUACCGCCCGCCGAAGCGGCGGCGCAAGCCGCUGCGAAGGCGGGUAAGGGUGAAAUGGUGAGGUAAGAGCUCACCGCGGGCCGGGCGACCGGCCUGGCACGGCAAACCCCACCCGGAGCAAGACCGAAUAGGAGGGCGACGGCCCCGCCGUUUUCCGGCGGGACCGGAAGGGCGGCCCGCCCGGGGCCCUCGGGUACAGGUCGCUGGAGGCGCGCGGUAACGCGCGUCCUAGAGAAAUGGCCGUCACGCGGCGGUUCGCCGCCGCGCACAGAACCCGGCUUACGGCCUCCUCGGACA